ACUCACUGGCUGUGUACUAUGGAUAACCCUCUCAAUCUUAUAAGAGAGGCGAGGUACAGUCCAGAGGUUAACGGGUGGAGUGGUACAGUCCAGAGGUUAACAGGAUGGAGUGGUACAGUCCAGAGGUUAACGGGGUGAGUGGUACAGUCCAGAGGUUAACAGGGUGGAGUGGUACAGUCCAGAGGUUAACAGGAUGGAGUGGUACAGUCCAGAGGUUAACAGGGUGGAGUGGUACAGUCCAGAGGUU
rnacentral:lncRNA from 13 species